rnacentral:rRNA from 1 species
GUGGGGAAUAUUGGACAAUGGGCGAAAGCCUGAUCCAGCCAUGCCGCGUGUGUGAAGAAGGUCUUCGGAUUGUAAAGCACUUUAAGUUGGGAGGAAGGGUAGUAACCUAAUACGUUGCUACUUUGACGUUACCGACAGAAUAAGCACCGGCUAACUUCGUGCCAGCAGCCGCGGUAAUACGAAGGGUGCAAGCGUUAAUCGGAAUUACUGGGCGUAAAGCGCGCGUAGGUGGUUUUGUAAGUUGGAGGUGAAAUCCCCGGGCUCAACCUGGGAACUGCCUCCAAAACUGCAUGACUAGAGUACGGUAGAGGGUAGUGGAAUUUCCUGUGUAGCGGUGAAAUGCGUAGAUAUAGGAAGGAACACCAGUGGCGAAGGCGACUACCUGGACUGAUACUGACACUGAGGUGCGAAAGCGUGGGGAGCAAACAGGAUUAGAAACCCUUGUAGUCC